rnacentral:rRNA from 1 species
GAGUGAUGAAGGCUUCGGGCUGUAAAAUCUGUUAGUNNGGAGAAGGGUUUAGGCUAAUAUCCUUAAGCAUUGACGGUACCACUAGAGUAAGCACCGGCUAACUCCGUGCCAGCAGCCGCGGUAAUACGGAGGGUGCAAGCGUUGAUCGGAAUUACUGGGCGUAAAGCGAGAGCAGGUGGUUUAAUAAGUCAGAUGUGAAAUCUCUAGGCUUAACCUAGAAACUGCAUCUGAUACUAUUAAACUAGAGUGUAAGAGAGGGUGAUGGAAUUCCCAGUGUAGGGGUAAAAUCCGUAGAUAUUGGGAGGAACACCGGAGGCGAAGGCGAUCACCUGGCUUACAACUGACACUCAUCCUCGAGAGCAUGGGUAGCAAACAGGAUUAGAUACCCUGGUAGUCUAUGCUGUAAACGAUGGACACUAGAUGUUGUGGGAUUUGAUCCCUGCAGUAUCGUAGUUAACGCGUUAAGUGUCCCGCCUGGGGAAUACGGUCGCAAGAUUAAAACUCAAAGAAAUUGACGGGGGCCCGCACAAGCGGUGGAGCAUGUGGUUCAAUUCGAGGCAACGCGAAAAACCUUACCUGGGCUUGACAUCCUGCUUUAAAUCAUAGAGAUAUGGUCUAGUCUUCGGACAAGGCAGGACAGGUGCUGCAUGGCUGUCGUCAGCUCGUGUCGUGAGAUGUUGGGUUAAGUCCUGCAACGAGCGCAACCCUUAUCAUUAGUUGCCAUCAUUAAGUUGGGUACUCUAAUGAGACUGCCGGUGUUAAACCGGAGGAAGGUGGGGAUGACGUCAAGUCAUCACGGCCCUUAUGUCCAGGGCUACACACGUGCUACGAUGGUCGGUACAAAGAGCUGCAAACCCGCAAGGGGGAGCUAAUCUCAAAAAGCCGAUCUCAGUUCGGAUCGGAGUCUGCAAUUUGACUUCGUGAAGCUGGAAUCGCUAG